rnacentral:rRNA from 1 species
GACGUAGGUGGCGAACGUUAUCCGGAAUUAUUGGGCGUAAAGGAUGCGUAGAUGGUGUAGUAAGUUAUCGGUGGCAAAUCGAGGCUCAACCUCGUGGAAGUCGGUAAUACUGCUAUGCUAGAGGAUAGGAGAGGUUAACGGAACUCCCUGUGGAGCGGUGAAAUGCGUAGAUAUGGGGAAGAACACCAAUAGGGCGAAGGCAGUUAACUAUUCUAUUCCUGACAUUGAGGCAUGGAAGCGUGGGGAGCAAAACGG